rnacentral:rRNA from 1 species
AGUGAACGCUGGCGGCAGGCCUAAUACAUGCAAGUCGAAUGGCAGCACAGCAGAGCUUGCUCUGUGGGUGGCGAGUGGCGGACGGGUGAGGAAUACAUGGGAAUCUGCCCAGUCGUGGGGGAUAACGUAUGGAAACGUACGCUAAUACCGCAUGCGCCCUACGGGGGAAAGCCGGGGACCGAAAGGCCUGGCGCGAUUGGAUGAGCCCAUGUUCGAUUAGCUAGUUGGCGGGGUAAAGGCCCACCAAGGCGACGAUCGAUAGCUGGUCUGAGAGGAUGAUCAGCCACACUGGAACUGAGACACGGUCCAGACUCCUACGGGAGGCAGCAGUAGGGAAUAUUGGACAAUGGGGGCGAACCCUCGAUCCAGCCAUGCCGCGUGAGUGAAGAAGGCCUCGGGUUGUAAAGCUCUUUUGUCCGGAAAGAAAAGCAUUCGGUUAAUACCCGGGUGUUCUGACGGUACCGGAAGAAUAAGCACCGGCUAACUUCGUGCC